rnacentral:rRNA from 1 species
GACGAACGCUGGCGGCGUGCUUAACACAUGCAAGUCGAACGGAAAGGCCCUGCUUUUUUGGGGUGCUCGAGUGGCGAACUGGUGAGUAACACUUGUGUAACCUGCCCUUUACUUUGGGAUAACUUCAGGAAACUUGGGCUAAUACCGUAUAUGAUCUCCUGCUGCAUGUUGUGGGUUGGAAAUUUUCGGCGGUUGGGGAUGUACUCGCUGCUUAUCAGCUUUUUGGUGGGGUAGUGGCUUACCAAGGCUUUACCGGGUAGCCGGCCUGAGCGGGUGACCGGCCAAAUUGGGACUGAGAUACGGCCCAGAAUGCUACGGGAGGCAGCAGUGGGGAAUAUUGCACAAUGGGCGGAAGCCUGAUGCAGCAACGCCGCGUGCGGGAUGACGGCAUUCGGGUUGUAAACCGCUUUAGCCUGUGACGAAGAGUGAGUGACGGUAAUGGGUAAAGAAGCACCGGCUAACUACGUG